rnacentral:rRNA from 1 species
UACAGAGGGUGCAAGCGUUGUUCGGAAUUAUUGGGCGUAAAGCGCGUGUAGGCGGCUUUGCAAGUCGGGUGUGAAAGCCCUCAGCUCAACUGAGGAAGUGCGCCCGAAACUGCAGAGCUUGAGUGCCGGAGAGGGUGGCGGAAUUCCCCAAGUAGAGGUGAAAUUCGUAGAUAUGGGGAGGAACACCGGUGGCGAAGGCGGCCACCUGGAUGGAUACUGACGCUGGAGACGCGAAAGCGUGGGGAGCAAACAGG